UCUCGCCCCCCUCGUAUAUCAACUCCUCUAUGGCUCUGCCCGACCUAGACACCCAGUCGGCCAGCCGCCUCGCCGUCCCGGCAUCGCCGUUCCUCGCGGCUUCGCCGGUCGCCAGCCGGAGCCCGGAGUUCAGCCGCCCAGGAGGCUCCCGCCUUUUUCCUGCUUCCCGCCCGGCCGCCCUCCCGGCUCCCGGUCUAGCCGCGCCCCUGCUGUCCCGGCGUCCCGCCGGCCCGGCCGCCCCCUGCAAAUCCCCACCACGGUGGCAGGCAAACCCCUGACCGAUUUGAGAAUUAUUGAAGAAUGAAUAGGACCAGAGACAUUGUUUCUCUUUUCCAGAGAGAAGCUAUUAAUACAGGGAAGAAGAAGAAGGCAGGGAAUGUGCCGCAUGUUGCCGAAGAGCAAACCGGAGAACUGGUGCGUAUGCCGGUUGUGAUUGAAGAGCAAACUCAUGAACCAACAGUUUCUAUGACGAAUGUGACCAUAGAGCAAAAGCAUGGGCCAUAAACAGUCUUUUUGAAGUUCUCAAGGCAGGUAUGGCACCGAUGUCUUCAUGAGUUGCAGGUGCUGCUUCAGGUGGCCAUCUCUAUUUGGGGUGGACAACCGUGAUUCUUGUUGGACUAAGUCCAGGACCCUAUUGCCAAAAGCCAAACGUAGGGUUUUUUAUUCUCUUGUUAUGCUUGCUUGCCGGAGUUUGUGGAAACAACAUAAUGUUAGCCAACUUAGAGAUGUGAAAGAGACUAGUACGCAGAUCAUUGCUGAAUUUCAUCUUUGGGGCAUGGCUAGAGGUACCGAAGUAGCAGCGUCGUGUGAGUAGUUUUCUUUGUACUUGGAGCAGAGUGUGUGUAUUUUAUUUUCCUUUGACAACAAAUUUCUUGUA